CCUACGGGAGGCAGCAGUGGGGAAUAUUGCACAAUGGGGGAAACCCUGAUGCAGCGACGCCGCGUGAGUGAAGAAGUAUUUCGGUACGUUAAGCUCUAUCAGCAGGGAAGAAAAUGACGGUACCUGACUAAGAAGCCCCGUCUAACUACGUGCCAGCAGCCGCGGUAAUACGCAGGGGGCAAGCGUUAUCCGGAUUUACGGGGUGUAAAGGGAGCGUAGGCGGCCGGGCAAGUCUGGAGUGAAAUCCUAUGGCUUAACCAUGGAACUGCUUGGGAAACGGUGCAGCUAGAGUGCAGGAGAGGUAAGCGGAAUUCCUGGUGUAGCGGUGAAAUGCGUAGAUAUUAGGAGGAACACCGGUGGCGAAGGCAGCAUGCUGGACUGUAACUGACGUUGAGGCUCGAAAGCGUGGGGAGCGAACAGGAUUAGAUACCCGAGUAGUC
rnacentral:rRNA from 1 species